rnacentral:rRNA from 1 species
UACGUAGAAGACUAGUGUUAGUCAUCUUUAUUAGGUUUAAAGGGUACCUAGACGGUAAAUUAAACUCUAAAUGAGUACUUUUUUACUAGAGUUUUAUAAGAGAAGGGAGAAUUUCUGGAGUAGAGAUAGAAUACGCUUAUACCAGAAGGACUGAUAACGGCGAAGGCGCCCUUCUAUGUAAAACUGACGUUGAGGGACGAAGGCUUGGGUAGCAAUAAGG